rnacentral:rRNA from 1 species
GACGAACGCUGGCGGCGUGCUUAACACAUGCAAGUCGAACGAUGAAGCCGGAGCUUGCUCUGGUGAAUUAGUGGCGAACGGGUGAGUAACACGUGAGUAACCUGCCCUUGACUCUGGGAUAACUGCGGGAAACUGUAGCUAAUACCGGAUACGACCCUCGGAGGCAUCUCCUGGGGGUGGAAAGAAUUUCGGUCAAGGAUGGACUCGCGGCCUAUCAGCUAGUUGGUGAGGUAAAGGCUCACCAAGGCGACGACGGGUAGCCGGCCUGAGAGGGUGACCGGCCACACUGGGACUGGGAAACGGCCCAGACUCCUACGGGAGGCAGCAGUGGGGAAUAUUGCGCAAUGGGCGCAAGCCUGAUGCAGCAACGCCGCGUGAGGGAUGACGGCCUUCGGGUUGUAAACCUCUUUUAGUAGGGAAGAAGCGAAAGUGACGGUACCUGCAGAAAAAGCACCGGCUAACUACGUGCCAGCCGCCGCGGUAA